rnacentral:rRNA from 1 species
AGCCACAGCCAUGUCACCCUGCAGCCCAAGACCGGUUACUCACUGAAGCUAAGCAGGGCUGAGCCUGGUUAGUACCUGGAUGGGAGACCACUAGGGAACACUAGGUUGCUGUUGAAA